rnacentral:lncRNA from 1 species
UUUUUCUCGUACUCUGAUUGGGCGAGAGGGUAUUACAAGUUUCGAUGUUCCCUUGGCAACGGCUUUCAGCGGGCAACAAUCGUUGACCUGGUAAUAAUACCGGAAGAGAUUUCCCCAGAAAUGUACGUUUUUCUAAUAAGUUUUUUAGAAAUCAAAUGAUCAAAAAAUCAAAUAGCUGCUUUUUUUCUUUGACACUUGGUAUGUAACAAAACACUUAUUGACUUGAACCUCGGGAAAGCAGUUCGCCUCGUGAAACAUCGAGGGGCCACGAAACACACUGUUCCCCUCGGUCCCAGUGAAUAAGUGUUAAAUAUGACAUAAGUCCAAUGAAUGGCGAAAAUUCUGAUCCAGAAAAGACUGACUGAAUUCAACAUGAUUGCUGUCAGAUAGCCCAAGCUGUGUAAUAAAGGCGUUUAAUCCGUGCCUGGCAGUGUUUCAUCAAGACAAAAAUAAUGCCAAAGCCAAGAAUUUCCACCUACCCCUCCCUGUAAUAAUAUAUACUUGUCACGCAACAUUAGGCUCUAUUAUGUAACAAAUGUAAUAUGACUCUCUCUCCCCUCUCUCUACACACAUUGUAUCAAGUUAAGCACCAGAAUAAGUAUGCCGAAUUAAUCAUCAUUAAAGCAAGCAAUCAUAAUCAAAGCCUCCACUAAAUAUCAUGACACUCCCCUAGUCAGAUCCAGUCUUUUCUAACCGAGUAUAGUAGUCCCAUAAUUCCUUGUGGAUCGAGUCAGUUCAUCCUCCACGUGCAGCCCAAGGCGAUUGAAGGUUGGUAAAUAUGAAGAAUUUCAGGGAAAGAAAGGUUAUUUUUAGGCCUAAAAUGUGGAUAAAGGCGAUAGCGUCUCUUCACCACGCGGACGACGUCAAGAUGGCGGACCACUCCAAGGACACUGUUGCUUCAAAAUGAGGGUUAAAGGGACUCCAGCAAAUACAACAAAGGGACUCGAGCAAAAACAACCUCAUGGAAGGUGCAGCAGAAGGAAGUCAAAACUGGUUGGCAAUGGACAAGUGGAGGUUCUGCAUAAAGAAUAUCAAACAUAGAGACAGAUAUCUAAAUAUCUGGGCUCUUAAUUACAGCUGUUGCAGAAGCAAGGACCAGAGAAUCACAGUUUGUCUUUAAGACACAGCUGAAUGUUGAGUAAUUACUCUCAAAAAUAAAACUUUGGCCCUAAUGAAUCAAAAAGAGACACUUCCAUUCAUGGCUUAUUCUUUCAAUCAGGAAAAAGCUAAAAUGCAAGGAAUUUUUCUUUGAAAAAAAGACAAUAUUUGGAAAGUGAUUAUCCAUUCUUCUGGGGAACAUCUAGAUAGGAUUUUUCACAAAGAAAACUUGUAUAAAUGUGAGAAGGAUAAUGUUCACCAAGAUACAGCUUAUAUUAAAUGGAAGCAAGAAUCUGAAUGGUGUUGCAUAAAAACGUGUAUCCAAAUGUUUGUGCUCAAGUCAUACAGGUGUUAGUAGAGGUGUACUCAUAUUGACUUUACUAAAAGAACAAGGAUGCCAGAUAAAGCAAUAAAACUGGAUUCAUUCAACAGUUACAACAGUUUUUUAUUUCCACCAAAAAAUAUAUACAUACAUAAAUUGAAUAAGUUACAAAUAUUGUGGGGAGUGCAAGGGAACAACCUCAGAGGUUAAACAAGCUCUUACACCCUUAAGAUGAAGAUGAGUAAUAUUUACAUAUAUGUAAGAUGGGAAGAAUCAUAUAUAGUACAGUAGUUUUCGUAGUUGAACAACUAGAAAUUUCAUAAAACAAAAUAAACGUACAGGAAAAAGAAAAAAUCAGUAGUUUGAUAUAAGAGGUCAUUAUAACGUUACGGACUCUUGAUUAUGCAAAGUAACACAGUUGUAACACAGGGAGUUUUGCCAAAAUGAGAAUCCUGAAAUAAUUUCAUAAUUAAAAUUGGACAACACAAAUCA